AACUGUUUGCAGAGGAAACUGAGACUUUGUAACUAUGUCUCAGUCUCAUCUGCAAAGAAGU
ensembl:miRNA